CCGACAGUCAGGGAUAACAUUUCGAAGGAAUGCUAAUACCUGAUAAGCCUACGCCCUCUUCGGAGGAAGUAGGAAAAGGUGGGGACCUUCGGGCCUGCCGUUGUUGGAUGAGUCCGCGGCCCAUUAGCUAGUUGGUAGGGGUAAUGGCCUACCAAGGCUACGAUGGGUAGCUGGUCUGAGAGGAUGAUCAGCCACACUGGAACUGAGACACGGUCCAG
rnacentral:rRNA from 1 species